rnacentral:rRNA from 1 species
UGGGGAAUAUUGGACAAUGGGGGGAACCCUGAUCCAGCCAUGCCGCGUGUGUGAAGAAGGCCUUAUGGUUGUAAAGCACUUUAAGCAGUGAAGAAUACAUCAUGGCUAAUAUCCGUGAUGAAUGACAUUAGCUGCAGAAUAAGCACCGGCUAACUACGUGCCAGCAGCCGCGGUAAUACGUAGGGUGCAAGCGUUGUCCGGAAUUACUGGGCGUAAAGAGCUCGUAGGUGGUUUGUCACGUCGUCUGUGAAAUUCCACAGCUUAACUGUGGGCGUGCAGGCGAUACGGGCUGACUUGAGUACUGUAGGGGUAACUGGAAUUCCUGGUGUAGCGGUGAAAUGCGCAGAUAUCAGGAGGAACACCGAUGGCGAAGGCAGGUUACUGGGCAGUUACUGACGCUGAGGAGCGAAAGCAUGGGUAGCAAACAGGAUUAGAUACCCUGGUAGUCCAUGCCGUAAACGGUGGGCGCUAGGUGUAGGGGCCUUUUGGGGUUUCUGUGCCGUAGCUAACGCAUUAAGCGCCCCGCCUGGGGAGUACGGCCGCAAGGCUA